UCCAGAAUGCAGCAUGUCCAGGAACCAUGGAACUGAGAAGAGCCCUGAGCUACUCCCGGGCCACACCCCACACACAGUGGAGGUCUCUCUCUGGGGUCUGUUUGGCUGGGCCAUCAUCUGCAACAUCUCAGGGUUGCUGUGAAGGUAUUUUGUAGAUAUGGUUAACGCCCACAAUUCGUUGACUUGUAAAGAAGAUUAUUCUUGGCUGCGUGGGUGGUCCCUCAUCAAGUCUGUUGGAAAAAGUUUUCGGAGAAAAACUGAGAUUUCCUAGGGAAGAAAAAAUUCUGCAUCAAGACUGAAACAUAACUCUUCAUUUUACUCAGCUCCAAUCUGAAAACAUCUUGCAAUGUACCUCCCUGUCUGAAAGAGUCAAGCGAUCGCUCCAGACAAGCAUCACUCUUCACUCUGGACCAUGGGAAUGAACACAUCUUCGUUUCUCACCCACUGUUUACAUGUGCACAGAGAUAAUUUAGCAAGAAACAAAAAAAAAAAACUGUCUGAGUUGUGCUUUUCAAAUGUAAAGCAUUGGAAAAGUUUUAUUUUGCUGUACUUUACUUCCAUUUAAGGCAUUGUUCAUAGUCAUUCGGUUGUUCAUUUGAGCCAAAAUUGCUCUUGGUACCCAUAAUACAGCUGUAAGAUGUGAGCCCAAGAUCACUUCACGGCUUCCCAUUCAUGGCUUUGAGCUUCAAGCCCUGGGCUGUAGAGUGUCCUCAUAGCUCAUGUAAAAGUGUAACCUGGAAAUAUUGGAGAGCUAAUACCUAAGGAGUAGUUCCCAACCCACAGGAGAGAAACUGAUGGACAGAUGGCUGUGCUACUGUGAUAGAACGCCUGAGGCUGGAUGCCUCACAAGGAAAGAGUUCCAUCUACUUCAAGGUUCUGGAAGUCUGAGAGCCCGGCGCUGGUGUCUGUGCAGCUCCAUGAGGACCUCAUGUCUGCAGCAUCACAUGGUGGGAGCACCUGUGAAAGAGGCGAGCGGGCGGGAGAGAUUUCACGGCAAGAAGAGAUGGAAAAGGAGCGUCACGGGACCAGGCUUACUCUUUAUCACAGCUUGCUCUACCCCUUUCCAAGAUCAGAUAAUCUCUUCAUGCCAGCAGUUGCUACCCAGUCACUCCCCAUGAACCCCACCUCUUAAAGUCCCACCACAUCUCAGUGUCAUUACAUCGGGGACCAAGUUUCAACAAGAGUUUUGAUAGAGCAGACAACAUCUGUACCUCCCACUCUCUGGCUGACCAUCUAGGAGGGCAUUCUGUGUACUUCUCGGGGGACCUGGAGAGUCAAGCCAUGUUCUUGUGGUGAUGGCAUUGGCAAUGCACCUGUUUCUCCUCGGCUGGCUGCUGGGAUUGACUUCCAAAUCAGUGGCCUGUCUCAAGAUUAUGCCACUGGAUCUAUUUUGAAGAAAACCCAAACUAAGACCAAUCAUCACUGUUGAGACCUAACUACAAUCCCCUCCAGAUGGUUAGCCAGUGUUUUCUGGAAUCUCCACAAUGAUAAGAGCUCUUUCUUGUGGCUUUAGAUACACACUCCCAUUGCAGGACAAAGCAUGACAACCAAUAGAGAGUUAGUGAGAUAUCCAGAACCUUCCAUGGGCCAAGCACUUUACUAGGUUUUCAUUCUGAUUAAGAAUGUUUCUGUUUUAAAAACUUAAAAAUAGGCAAAUUAUCUUUAUUAAUGCUUUAUUGAAAUAUUUCCAUACCAUACAACUUGCCCCUGUAAAUAAACACAAUGUGUUUUUUUUUUAA